rnacentral:rRNA from 1 species
GACAAACGCUGGCGGCGUACUUAAGACAUGCAAGUCGAACGGGUGUCCUGCUUUCGGGUGGGAUGCUAGUGGCGGAUGGGUGAGUAACGCGUAGGAACCUGUCGUUAAGUGGGGGAUACCGCUGGGAAACCGGCGCUAAUACCGCAUGUGGUCGAGCGAUCGAAGAAAGCAGCAAUGCGCUUGAUGAGGGGCCUGCGUCCGAUUAGCUAGUUGGUGGGGUAAAGGCCUACCAAGGCGCGAUCGGUAGCUGGUCUGAGGGGAUGGUCAGCCACACUGGGACUGAGACACGGCCCAGACUCCUACGGGAGGCAGCAGUUAGG